GACUGUGCUAAGGUAGCAUAAUAAUUUGGCCUUUAAUUGAGGUCUUGCAUGAAAGGAGUGUCUUAAUAAUUACUGUCUAAUUUUAAUACCUAUUAAAUUUCUAAUAAGGUGAAAAUUCCUUAAAUUGACAAGAUAGACGAGAAGACCCUUAGACUUAUUAUAAUAUUUAUAAAUUGUUUUAUAUUCUUGAUUGUUGGGGCGACACGGUAUCAAUUGAUUAACAUACCUUAUUUAUUAUACAUUUACCUAUUAUCUUACAAAAAAUUAAGUACCUAAGGGAUAACAGCAUAAUUACUUUAUUACAUUGUGACCUCGAUGUUGGACUAGGA
rnacentral:rRNA from 1 species